rnacentral:rRNA from 1 species
CCAGCACCUGCGGUAAUUCCAGCUCCAAUAGCGUAUACUAAAGUUGCUGCAGUUGAAAAGCUCGUAGUUGAUAUUGAGAGACGAUUAAAAUAGUUUUAAAUUAUUUUGUCGACUCUUUUUCUUUAAAGAAUAGAAAAAUUUAUUUUUCCUUUCUUUUUGAUACCUUGAAUAAAAAAGAGUGUUUAAAGCAAAUUUAUCAUGGAUUUAUCCAUUUUAUUUCUUUGAAUUAUUAAGCAUGGAAUAUCUCUAAUCCUUAAAGACUAAUUAGAAAUCUGGUUUUUUUUCAUUUUAAUCUAAAUGAUUAAUGGAAUCAGUUGGGGUCAUUAGUAUUUAAUUGUCAGAGGUGAAAGUCUUAUAUUAAUUACAGACUAACUUAUGCGAAAGCAUUUGACGAGGAUGUUUUCAUCAAUCAAGAACGAAAGG